GCCAACAAUUGAAAACAAUUAACGCGAAGUCCAAAUCCAUACACUUUUAGCAAGUGUCGCAACUGUUGCGGUAAAUACUACAGUUCCCAUCAUGCUUUGCCGUGUCACGUGUCCUUAACCAUAACAACGAUGGCGGGUGUGUUGAGACUGGACGAGAAUGACUUUAUUUUGGUCUGUAAGGAGCUUGCUCUCUUUUCUAAAACUUAUCUCUGGGCGGUGAACAGAAGACCGCGCGCUCCCGUUAAGCCCUUUGUGCCCCGGAAAGGGGAGAGCAGAAAAGUCGUGGGACUGACAUCACUAAAAUACUUCUGAUACUUUCAGGGAAGCCAUACUUGAAGUCUGAAUGAGACGUCACAAAAGAGAAACAGCAGGCAGUAUAAACCCAGGUGGACAACUUUGAGGACGUUUGGCAGCACAAUAUAAAGAUUGCUGUUGUUGGUGCUUCCUACGCUGAAGAUCCUGUUGAUGUCUCUCUUAUUCUUGACGGCAAGGAGGUUGUGACUGGAUGUGGAAAUACUGCAAAGGCAUGUACACUGCUAAUGGGUCUGAUAUAUUCCCUCAAUCUUGCUUAUCCUCCAACACUGCGUUACACUUUUGAAGUGUUCCAGAAGCUUUUCUUAGAUUUAGACGCAAUAAAGCUAUCCCCCAAAGUACAAACUCUGAAAAUGAAGUUGCUGUCCAAAACUUAAAAGAUGACAUUUUAUUCAGCUUUGUUCAGCUUGGUAUGCCUUUGCCAUUAUAGCAGUUUAUGCUAUAAAGUUGUAUUGUUAUUGUGUAACUCUUGCACAUGCUUCAAAGUCGUUAAUUGUUCAUGAAUGUUAAUACAGCUGCAAAACUUAUGCAGCCAUUUCUCACAGCUGUGCCUUCAGAAAGGACUUAUAUAGAUAAUAGUAUGACAACAAGAAUUGCUGAUUUGUUGUUUUUUUUUUUCAAGUGUAAAACUUGGACAAAAAAGGCUGUCAAUAAAACAAAGUUGUUAAAUAUUGUCAUUUUUAUAUUAUUGAUUUUUCAUAUUUUCUGUAUACACUUUAACAAAACUAGUAGUUAUUACUCAAAUGUAGUGCUUAAAAAUUAUUUUGUAAUAAGAAUAAAUAUAGUGAUACAACGAAUAAAAUAUAAAUAACAUUUAUUAAAUUAAUUCAUU
ensembl:lncRNA